CCUGCCAACGCAAGGAGCAGGUGAACGUAACGUUGCUAUCGUGCGAGUGAUCAAUACCAUACUUGCCUUACGAGACCCUUGAGACAAUCGUUGAUGUGACAGUUUGAAGCCUUCGGAGCCUUUUAAACAGUUGUUGUGCAAAUAGGCCACAUUGUGAUGUAAUUUUUCCCGUUUUAGAAAUAGUCCGUAGUUCACGAAGAUGCUGUAACCGUUAGCUUCGAGACGCAUCAACAUACACCACUGAUCAAUCUAAAUACCAUAGGAGUGAAUUGAGUACAAAGAAAUCCGAGUAGUACUUACUUAGUGUAUUCUCUCAUCCCGUGUAUUCGAAUGGAAUUGCAUAAAAUAGGUUCGUAUUAUACAUUAUCAUAUUUUACACAUGUUGCUGGACGCUUUUAGCCUACAGGGUGGCCCAGAGCCGGCCUUAAAUUUGUUUUAAGUGCGAACGUUGAGGGUAACAAGGCAGUCUGAAGGGAGGUUAGUUUUGAUAAGGAAGUGAUUCGCGGUGCCACAUUGAACAAACUGUAUCAUAAAAUCGUGCUGCGACAAAAGAUCAUCAUCGUAAAAUCAACAUUGGUAAACGGUUCUUUGGUAAAUCCGUUUUUACUCGAAGGUCUACGUAAACAAACAGAAUCGUUACGUUUGAGGCCGACGAUUUCAAGGGUCAGAAUAGAAACUUUGCUUCAUCUCAAGGAAGUGACAGCUUGGUAUACUAGGCGUGCUUGAUGGCUUUUUUACUCGGCACGCAAUUAUUGUAUCACAACAUGGACCGCGUAUUGCGUUUUGGACAAAUCUAUUACAUUGACAAUGUACUACUAUCUGAGGCAGCGGUGAAGUGUCCUCAGGGGAAACCAGCCGAAGCAACUGCGACUCGUCUGGAAAGGUAGUACUGCUGGCCCUCGCAAUGCCUAGUAGUGAUAUUAGCCAUGAUGACUCAGUCUCCACGCCACCGUUAGUGAGAUGGUCCCUCUGAUAACAGAAGCCACAAAGCCCUUGCUCUGACAGAAUUGCGGGGUCUCCCUUCUACCGUCGUACCCUUGACCUUAAUUUCAAAUUUUUCACCCGUUUCCUUUCUGCUCACUACGACACCAGCACCAUACGGAGGCUUACACAGAUUUGCACAAAAACUAGAUAGAUAUUAACAAUAUUACAAUCAACGCCAUCGCCACCGUCAGUUAAAACAGUAACAGCGGCAUUGCAGGGUUUUCCAUACGCUAGUCGCUCACGCACACAAAGUGCUUAGGCUGAAUUGAAGUAGCGUCUGCUGCAGCGUCCGCCACAGAGCGACACAGAUGAACAAGUUUAAAUGUGUUUUUUUCUUCCGGCGUUCCAAGUUUCGCUGGCGGAAGAACGUUUACAUAAAAGGGGGACCAGUUGCAAACUCUGAUAGGUCCCUUGACACCAGUACAAAAAAAGUACGGCUUCGCAGCUAGGUUGGUAUGGAUGCUUCGGAGCGGCACAGUGAGCGGGGGACGACGGUUCUGUUGGUCAGUUUCUGUUAAUGUAGCAUAUAUGAUUGCAUUUGUAAUUUGGAAAUGAUCGUCGAUGUGGCAUUAGUUCUUUGUUGUGUUUACCGAGGCAAAGAUGGCCAGAAAAAAAAUGGAUAAGAAACACGCCGCUUCAGGCUCGAUACGAACGAGGGAAUGAAAAAGACAUUUUACAGAUUUUCAUUAUCGAUUCUUAGAAGUAGGGGAGACGUUUAUAUGUGGAAUAUUACAGUCAUCAGUCUUCUGAUUCUUCAGUACGCUUAAAAUUCAGCAUAAAGAUUAUGCAAUGGAUUCGAUUUGCAGCAGCAACACAACAUAUUGAAACAACUGACGAAAGGUAGGUAAUGUUUUUGUUACAUUUAGACAUCGUGGGAUGACGCUUUCCGCGAUUUUGCUCAAUCUAUGAAUUUAUUAAUAAAUAAUUUUCUUAAAUAAAAUAGUGCAUACUUUUUGUGAUUUAAAACUAAACGGUUUCCUUAAAGAGCCAAAAACCACUGAUAGGCUAUUCAAACCCCGCCAUCGAUGCGCAUUACGUCCGGGAUAAAAUGAAAACAGCCCUCGGUAUAAUGUCCUGGUAUUCAAUUGAUUCAAUAAAAUGUAUUGAGUUGAACGUACAAAUAAAGAAUUACUACGAGUAUGAGUUCCGCCUUUUAUAACGCGGAAAGAUUAGCUUAACUUAACGAUAACUAAGGCGUAACUCGUAGUUCGUUAAUUGUAAUUAACUGCAGAUCGGCACGUAAUUCAUUCAGUUGAUAAGUAAUGUGAUAACCUGUGCCACUAUCUAUCUAUACUUAAGGAUGAGGAUCUUCUACACUUCUAGAGAAGUCAUUCUACUCGAAGGAUAAAGAAAGUCAUUUGCUAAAUGCAAAAGAAAAAGCGGCACUAGAUCAGAUCUCUUUCAAACUAUGGUACAACAUAUUUCAACAGAUUAAGGCCACUCGUUUGAACCUCAUGGAACGCAGCCGUUAGUAAAUACGGUGAGAUAGUCAGCGGCACUGAUUUGUGUUCGAUGCCGAUCAGAAAUACGGGCGAAGGGAGAAAAGCGUCAUCGAUCGCAUUAGAUGUUUGCAGAUGGUAAUCAAACACAGGUUAUUUUGUGCUAAAUGAAGCUGGACCUUUCGGCUGAAAUAAAUAUGACGUCGCAUCGCAAGCCGCCGACUACGAAAGUAACGUUGUUCAGCCGCGACUCAUUCCUAAGAAAACGACAAAUCAAGGAUAGUGAAAAUGGUGAAAACGACCUACAAAUAAACAUCGUCUAAGGAUCA